rnacentral:rRNA from 1 species
UACGUAGGUGGCAAGCGUUGUCCGGAUUUAUUGGGUUUAAAGGGUGCGUAGGUGGUCUAUUAAGUCAGUGCUGAAAUAUCCCGGCUUAACCGGGAGGGUGGCAUUGAUACUGAUGGACUUGAGUAAAGUUGAGGUAGGCGGAAUUGACGGUGUAGCGGUGAAAUGCUUAGAUAUCGUCAAGAACACCUAUAGCGAAGGCAGCUUACUAAGCUUUAACUGACGCUGAGGCACGAAAGUGUGGGGAUCAAAAGGG